rnacentral:rRNA from 1 species
UAGCAUAUCAUAAGCGGAGGAAAAGAAACCAACAGGGAUUGCCCCCAGUAACGGCGAGUGAAGCGGCAAAAGCUCAAAUUUGAAAUCUGGCCUCCUACGGGGGUCCGAGUUGUAAUUUGUAGAGGAUGCUUCGGGUGUGGCCGCCGUCUAAGUUCCUUGGAACAGGACGUCAGAGAGGGUGAGAAUCCCGUCUUGGGCGGCCGGUCCGCGCCCGUGUGAAGCUCCUUCGAAGAGUCGAGUUGUUUGGGAAUGCAGCUCUAAGCGGGUGGUAAAUUUCAUCUAAAGCUAAAUACUGGUCGGAGACCGAUAGCGCACAAGUAGAGUGAUCGAAAGGUUAAAAGCACCUUGAAAAGGGAGUUAAACAGCACGUGAAAUUGUUGAAAGGGAAGCGCUUGCGGCCAGACUCGGGGGCGGGGUUCAGCGGGUGCUCGUCGCCCGUGCACUCCCCGUCUCCCGGGCCAGCAUCAGUUUCGACGGCCGGUCAAAGGCCUCCGGAAUGUGUCGUCUCUCGGGACGUCUUAUAGCCGGGGGUGCAAUGCGGCCCGUCGGGACUGAGGAACGCGCUUCGGCUCGGAUGCUGGCGUAAUGGCCGUAAGCGGCCCGUCUUGAAACACGGACCAAGGAGUCUAACAUCCACGCGAGUGUUCGGGUGUCAAACCCGUGCGCGCAGUGAAAGCGAACGGAGGUGGGAGCCUUAGGGCGCACCAUCGACCGAUCCUGAAGUCUUCGGAUGGAUUUGAGUAGGAGCGUGGCCGUUGGGACCCGAAAGAUGGUGAACUAUGCCUGAAUAGGGUGAAGCCAGAGGAAACUCUGGUGGAGGCUCGCAGCGGUUCUGACGUGCAAAUCGAUCGUCAAAUUUGGGCAUAGGGGCGAAAGACUAAUCGA